GACACAAACACUGUCGAAUUCAUAAUUUAAAAAUGGCUGGUUUCUGGAACUUAAUUCUGAUCUUCAGUGCCAUCUAUCCAGUCCAACCUGGUAGACGCUGGGUUACUGCACAAUCCCUCAAAGAGUCAGGAGUUUAUCAGCCUGAUAAAGAGCUCAGUGUGGAUUUCGGAGACUCGGCGACUCUGCAGUGUUGUGUUUCUGAAAAGAAAUUUGGGAUGAUGGCCUGGUUUAAGCAGCCAACAAGAAAAAAACCUCAAUUUAUUGUCAAAUUCUUUAAAACUUCUGGAGAAACAUUUGGCAGUGGAUUCCAAAAGUCACGUUUCCAAAUAGAAAGAUCUUCAAACUGCUUCAAUUUGACCAUUUUAAACACCACUCAGUCUGAUGAAGCCAUGUACUACUGUGCACUGAUGACACCCAACCUUGUGUUUGCAGAUGGAACGUAUUUAAAAAUUAAAGUGGGCUGUGAACCAACAUUGCAUGGAAACAGCACUAACACGAACACACAAGAGAAAACAGUGCUCGGUUUGGGAACGGCUUUGGGUUUGUGUGCACUUCUGAUUCUCUGCCUCAUUUAUUUCAUACUGAGGAGAAGAAAAUGGGAUAAAAUGAACACUUCUCGAGAAGAUUCUUCAGGAAUUAGGCAGGAAUUUAAGACUGAAACGGUGAAUUAUGCAGCUUUACAAUUUCCCCUGAGGAAAGCCAAAGCUGAAAAAAGGAAAAUUGUUUUAUCAGAGAAUUGUGUGUACUCUGAUGUGAAAUAAAAUUGUUCUUAUGUAACAUUAAUGAUUGGAGAUUUUUCUUCUGUACACAUAUUAAUUUAUAUAUGUAAUGCCACUACCAUUGCACCUGAGUUGAA